UUAAGUUCAGCGGGUAGUCCUACCUGAUUUGAGGUCAAGAUGGUCAUUAGAGUUGUCUUGCGACGGUUAAUGAAGCAGAUACCCUCAUGCAACAACUACAGUAUAGAUAAUUAUCACACUGAUAGUCAGAUAUGCAGAGGCAUUCCAGCUAAUACAUUUAAGAGGAGUGAGGGAUUUUCAUCCCACACAAAGAAACCUCC
rnacentral:misc_RNA from 1 species